rnacentral:rRNA from 1 species
GAGCGAGAAAAGGGGGGCAACUCCCUGAGUACAGCGGCGCACGGGUGAGUAACACGUGGGUAAUCUGCCCUGCGAGUGGGGAACAACACCGGGAAACCGGUGCUAAUACCGCAUACGAUCACGAGGUCUGCGGAUCUUGGGAUGAAAGGAGCAAUUCGCUCUAGGAGGAGCCCGCGGCUGAUUAGCUAGUUGGUGAGGUAAUGGCUCACCAAGGCUACGAUCAGUAUCCGGUCUGAGAGGACGGUCGGACACACUGGAACUGAGACACGGUCCAGACUCCUACGGGAGGCAGCAGUGGGGAAUUUUUCGCAAUGGGGGCAACCCUGACGAAGCAACGCCGCGUGGAGGAUGAAAUAUCUUGGUAUGUAAACUCCUUUCGAUAGGGAAGAUAAUGACGGUACCUAUAGAAGAAGCCCCGGCUAACUUCGUG